UGUUCCCACUGUCAUUAUUUCAUAAUUUCUACUUUUUCAUCACUAAUGUUCACUUUUAUUAUUUUUAUAUAAUAUUAUUUUAAUCUUCAAAAGACUUGAAAUUGGGCUAUAAAUAGGAGUUGAGAGAGGAGGUGAACUUAACCUACUUAGCUAUAAUCCAAAAUGAAGCCACUGUUUCUUUUAGUUUGUGUUCUCCUAGCUUCCUCUUUCUUUAUUCCCAUUUCCGCCAUGCCUAUCCAGGACCAGCCCUUGGGUGGUGAACGCAAAGGAAAAGAAUGUGGUCGUGGAACAAAAUGCAUACCAACAAAGCCACCGCAUCGUAGGUGUAAAGGUAACAGUGCUUACUGCAGGCCUCCCUGAAUGGGGUAAAAAAUAAAGCUAUGGGCCUAUGGAUGAUAUGUUAUUAUGUCUAUGGAUAUGGAUGUGGGUGAAGUUAUGCUAGUAAUAAAUUAACAAAUAAAUAAAGUUUCCCCCCAUGCUUCAUGACCCAUGGCAAUUACCACAUCACCAUCAUCAAUGAAGUUCUUGUAAUGAUCGUAUCAUUACUUUCAUGACUACUAGUUUGUAUGUGUUACGUUUAUGUUUAAUAAAUUAUGGAGUGUUUUUUUGUUGAAAAA